AUUGAACGCUGGCGGCAUGCCUUACACAUGCAAGUCGAACGGCAGCACGGGGCAACCUGGUGGCGAGUGGCGAACGGGUGAGUAAUGCAUCGGAACGUACCUUUCAGUGGGGGAUAACGUAGCGAAAGUUACGCUAAUACCGCAUAUUCUGUGAGCAGGAAAGCAGGGAAUCGCAAGACCUUGCGCUGAUUGAGCGGCCGAUGUCAGAUUAGCUAGUUGGCGAGGUAAAGGCUCACCAAGGAGACGAUCUGCAACGGGUCUGAGGGGAUGAUCCGCCACACUGGAGCAGGGACACGGUCCAGACGCCUGCGGGAGGCAGCAGUGGGGAAUUUUGGAGAAUGAGGGCAACCCUGAUCCAGCCAUGCCGCGGGAGUGAAGAGGGCCUUCGGGUUGUAAAGCUCUUUCGGCGGGGAAGAAAUCGCACGGGCUAAUACCCUGUGUGGAUGACGGUACCGGAAUAAGAAGCACCGGCUAACUACGUGCCAGCCGCCGCGGUAAGAC
rnacentral:rRNA from 1 species